AGAGUUUGAUCAUGGCUCAGAACGAACGCUGGCGGCAGGCCUCAAACAUGCAAGUCUAGGGGGUGUAGCAAUACAUCACCGGCGGACGGGUGCGUAACGCGUGGGAAUAUACCUAUUGGUUCGGAACAACUGCGGGAAACUGCAGCUAAUACCGAAUGUGCCCUUACGGGGAAAGAUUUAUCGCCGAAGGAUCGGCCCGCGUAAGAUUAGCUAGUUGGUGAGGUAACGGCUCACCAAGGCUCUGAUCUUUAGCUGGUCUGAGAGGACGAUCAGCCACACUGGGACUGAGACACGGCCCAGACUCCUACGGGAGGCAGCAGUGGGGAAUAUUGGACAAUGGGCGCAAGCCCGAUCCAGCCAUGCCGCGUGAGUGAUGAAGGCCUUAGGGUUGUAAAGCUCUUUUGGCAGGGACGAUAAUGACUGUACCUGCAGAAUAAGCCCCGGCCAACUUCGUGCCAGCAGCCGCGGUAAUACGAAGGGGGCUAGCGUUGCUCGGAAUCACUGGGCGUAAAGCGCACGUAGGCGGGUUGUUAAGUCAGGGGUGAAAUCCUGGAGCUCAACUCCAGAACUGCCUUUGAUACUGGCAAUCUUUGAGUCCGGGAGAGGUGGGUGGAACUGCGAGUGUAGAGGUGAAAUUCGUAGAUAUUCGCAAGAACACCAGUGGCGAAGGCGGCUCACUGGCCCGGUACUGACGCUGAGGUGCGAAAGCGUGGGGAGCAAACAGGAUUAGAUACCCUAGUAGUCC
rnacentral:rRNA from 1 species